AAUUAUUUAUUUCAUAUUUCAUUUAUUGAUUUUAUAUUUCAUUUAUUUAAUUUUGGCACAAAACACAUUCCAUAGAGAUUGUGGAGCAAUGCUUAAUACAUAUGUCCAAGCUACAAGUUCUGCCACUUGUGCUCCUCAUUAUCCAGAACCUUCUCUGCCCUCAGAACCUGUAUGUCUUCCACUGUCGCCCAUUCAGCCAGUCGCUCACCAUAGUGUAUGGUGGCCUCACUCAAAGCAGGACAUGGCAGGGCUCAAGGCCUACACACCUAGCCAAUCAACAGUCAAAACACAUCUGUGUCUACCUUGAAGCAAGAACAUUGCGUCCGCAUGGCUUCCAGUGUUUGCGGCCUACACGUGGAACAGGAUAACUUGGGUCAGGUUCUAUUAGCAUAGGGAGCAGGGAGCUUGGGGAAACAAUUAAUCUGCAUUUGAAUUCAAAAAUUGCAUGUUAAUCAAAAUGGUCAUACUUUCUAUGGGGACUUUAUUCAAUUUACAACUGGAAAAUCUAAACCAAAACUGGAAUAUGUAAUCUGAUAUAAUUAACAUACCCAUCAUCUUGCAUUAUGUGCUCCUGUGACUUGUAGUGGAUUGGGGAGAACAAGGAUGGCCUUGAUGCUUUGGUCCAGUCAUCCAACACUCUUUAUAGCACAGCACACAGCAUUUCAUUUUCCCUGCAAAGCUUCACUAAAUUUAGUUACAACAACAGAUAUUCCUAGGCGGAGAUAUCAGAUAUCAAAAUGUAUAUAAAACACUGGAGGAUGAUGUAUGAGGUUGUGACCCUAUGACAUUUUAGUCAUUGAUUAAAUCAAAGUAAAUAUACACUUUAGAUCAUCACAAAUAGCAUGCAAAACUGUUAUUUCCCUCACCAAUGAGCACUACUGCUACCAAAUAGCCCUCCUAGUAGUUUUUCUAUUUAGGAUGAAUCAACCCUGAGCCUGCUCGAUCUGGUUUUCUUUUCAUCCAAAGACUACUACUACAAAAUAGCCUUGACUCCCUACAGAGGAGAAUUUAAUUUGUUAUUUUUAUUUUAUUCACGGAACGUUCGCCUUUUUGCUUGAUCACUGGUUCUCAGGAGAAUUCCCUUUCAGUAGGAUCCCGUCACCGGGGGUCAGAAGAUCAGCCCUCUCGCCUUGCUGUCUCAGACAACCAAGGGCUUUCAGGAUUCCAAAUCCAAGGUCCUAGACCUCACCAUGUAUGCUUUUUCAGAAAGCUCGUUCUGACCCCAGAUGUUGGGAUCCCGGGACCUCUCGCAAUUCUGUUAGGUAAAUCAAUUCGGAAUCAAGAAGAUGAGACAGGAGCCAGUGAUCAAAAUCAUCCAAUUAUAUUGAAUAUUUGCAAAGAGUGAGGAUAGUACAACACAGCUGGUUGAAACAAAGAGCUUUACAUUCUAAGAGUGCUUAUAUACUUCAGUGGCUACAUAAGUCAAGCGUAACUACACCCAUAGUCAUACAAUUCAAGCGUGACUACUCCUAAUGGGUAGUCACUUAAUCAAAUGUUGGUGGUUUGUUACCUUACUUGUUGUUGUGAGCAGAUCGCUCAUAUAUUAGAAUUUCAGGCUUCUCUGAGUAUAUCUUAUUCUAGGGCUAGGGCCUGAAUCACCAGGGGAAAAAGAUAAGAUGGGCUGAAGCAACCUAACAGCCCUGGUCUGCUUGUAAGUCUUUGGUUUACCCGUUGCUGCGUGUUCAGCUCCCUUACGGGUGUUUCCAGAGGCCCAUCCCCAGAACCAGGACUGAAAGAUCACCCCCCUCCAUUUUGUUCCAAAGGAAAAAACAAAACACUUAGGACUGUAGAAAUUAUUCAA